rnacentral:lncRNA from 1 species
CUCCUGCGUUUGUUGCACGCCGUGCACGUGAUGCUUGGCCAUGUUCUUCUACGUUCAAUUUUGUUUUGCUGGUAAUUUUUAGGGUUUUUUUUUGGUAGUUGAAUAUUAUUUGAUAAUGUAUUGCACAUUUUUAGGGCCGUGAUUGCUGACACGCCAAUUUUGACUUUGUCCUCACACAAUAUUGAUAGUUGACUUGCAGACACUCUUCAAUUUUCA